GUAGUCCACGCCCUAAACGAUGUCGACUGGUUGUUGGGUGGGUAACCACUUAGUAACGAAGCUAACGCGUGAAGUCGACCGCCUGGGGAGUACGGUCGCAAGAUUAAAACUCAAAGGAAUUGACGGGGACCCGCACAAGCGGUGGAUGAUGUGGUUUAAUUCGAUGCAACGCGAAAAACCUUACCUACACUUGACAUGUCAGAAAUCCUUCAGAGAUGAGGGAGUGCCGCAAGGAAUCUGAACACAGGUGCUGCAUGGCUGUCGUCAGCUCGUGUCGUGAGAUGUUGGGUUAAGUCCCGCAACGAGCGCAACCCUUGUCAUUAGUUGCUACAUUUAGUUGGGCACUCUAGUGAGACUGCCGGUGACAAACCGGA
rnacentral:rRNA from 1 species